rnacentral:rRNA from 1 species
GGAAUAUUGGGCAAUGGAGGCAACUCUGACCCAGCAACGCCGCGUGAAGGAAGAAGGUCUUCGGAUUGUAAACUUCUGUUAUCGGGGAAGAAGAUAGUGACGGUACCCGAUGAGUAAGCCCCGGCUAACUACGUGCCAGCAGCCGCGGUAAUACGUAGGGGGCAAGCGUUGUCCGGAUUGAUUGGGCGUAAAGGGUGCGUAGGCGGUUUGGUAAGUCAAAUGUGAAAGCCCGUAGCUCAACUACGGAACUGCAUUUGAUACUGCUAGACUCGAGUUCGGGAGAGGCAAGUGGAAUUCCUAGUGUAGCGGUGGAAUGCGUAGAUAUUAGGAGGAACACCAGUGGCGAAGGCGGCUUGCUGGAACGAUACUGACGCUGAGACACGAAAGCGUGGGGAGCAAACA